rnacentral:rRNA from 1 species
GAUGAACGCUAGCGGCAGGCCUAAUACAUGCAAGUCGAGCGGCAAGUCGAGGAGUAAUCUAAGACCUAGAGCGGCGCACGGGUGCGUAACGCGUAUGCAACCUACCUUAUACUGGGGGAUAGCCCGGAGAAAUCUGGAUUAAUACCCCAUGGUACAUAUUGAGGGCAUCUGAGAUAUGUUAAAGAUUUAUUGGUAUAAGAUGGGCAUGCGUCUGAUUAGCUAGUUGGCGGUGUAACGGACCACCAAGGCGACGAUCAGUAGGGGUUCUGAGAGGAAGGUCCCCCACACUGGCACUGAGAUACGGGCCAGACUCCUACGGGAGGCAGCAGUAGGGAAUAUUGGGCAAUGGUCGGAAGACUGACCCAGCCAUGCCGCGUGCAGGAAGAAGGCCCUCUGGGUUGUAAACUGCUUUUAUCUGGGAAGAAAAAGGCCAUGCGUGGCAAAUUGCCGGUACCAGAUGAAUAAGCACCGGCUAACUCCGUGCCAGCAGCCGCGGUAAUACGGAGGGUGCAAGCGUUGUCCGGAUUUAUUGGGUUUAAAGGGUGCGUAGGCGGCUGAUUAAGUCAGCGGUGAAAGACUUCGGCUUAACCGGAGCAGUGCCGUUGAUACUGAUUGGCUUGAGUGUUGGAGGGGUACAUGGAAUUGAUGGUGUAGCGGUGAAAUGCAUAGAUACCAUCAGGAACACCGAUAGCGAAGGCAUUGUACUGGCCAACAACUGACGCUGAGGCACGAAAGUGUGGGGAUCGAA